CUUAUCCCUCCAGAAACCCAUGGAGACCAAUGUUUAAGAAAGUCCUUCUUAAAUCAGCACUCAACUAGCUCUAUGCCUGGAGUAUUCUCCUAUCUCUCUAUACCUUCCCUCCUUUUUUCUCCCAAUCCAGCUAUUAAAAUCCAUACCCAGAAGAUGACUUAAUCUUUUAUUCUCAGUGAAGCCGAGUAUUUCAACUAGCAAUGGUUUUAGGAUAAAGUUUGUUUAUCCUGGAAUACCCUUUGUGUUUCUCACCUGGUGGGAAGGGAGUCUCUUGGCAUCAAAUUUAUGCUACAAAAGGUAACCUAAUACCCAAGAGAAUGACUUGUUUGCAUUUAAUGUGUGUUCUAACCUGAGGAAAGUGAGAAGCUAGAAAGUGCUGCCCAUUUGAAUUAUGAGCCACUAAUUUUAAAUUUUCUAAAAGUCACAUUAAAGAACAGGUGACAUUAAUUUUAGUAAUAUAUUUCAUUUCUACUACUUAUCCUAAAUAUUAUUAUUUCAACAUGGGCAUUUUACAUUUUUUAUACUCAUCUUUGAAUGUCAGUAUGUAUUUUAUGGCUUUUAGUACAUCUGAAAUCAAUGGUAAAUUCUCAAAGAUUAAAGAGAAAUGUCCUUUCAAAACAAUGAAGUUGUGAUUAGUGGUGGUUAGUAGCUUUAGUUUUUAUAUCAAAAUUAAUUGAAAUAAAUUCAAAAUUCAGUCACUCUUGUCACAUUUUAAUAGCCAAAUAUGUCCAGCUGCUACUAUGGACAGCAAUGGUCUAGAAUUCCCAAUCAAACGAUCUUUAAAUCUCCUUCAUCUUUGAUGCAAAGAAAGAAUCUGGAGGAUCCAGGAUUAUGGAAAGGAAGAGAGGAGAUGGGCAGACCUGAGAGAAGCUAAGGAAAACCAGCAUAAAGAAACUGUCAGACAUCCAUGGAAUGGUCUCUCUCCACUGAGCUGUGACCCAGAGAAACAAUAAACAAAGAUAGCACAUCAUCCCUGGGCUCUAAUUGUGUUUUCAUUGCUAUUGUGUAAAGUUGGGUCUCUCUGAUAGAGGGUUUGAGGAAAUUAUUCAGCAUAACUAUGAAGUGAUGUCAUAUUUUCAUUUCACAAAAGCCUUCAAUUUGGACCUAAAAUCUUGAUCAAAGCAGAGAUUUUUAUCAUCUUGGCAAAACAAAAAGAGGAAGAAAUGUGUGGGGCAGAUAGAAAGAGAGAGAGAAAGAGAGAGACUAGUGCCUUCAAAUGACACCCUCAGACUGCUGCCCAAGGUGUUUCUGAGAAGGCCAGCCUUGGUUGCCUGUUCACUGUUACAGUUGCCAGGAAUUAGAGAUGCUUCCCUCAGCAUUCCGUGCACUUAUUUAUUGUCUUCUCAAACUUCUCAGUUUCAUCCAUUAGUUAUUAGAAGCCUGAAUCUUUUCAGCAGUUGGAAUGGACUAUUAUGAAUAAAUGGAAAGUUCCCUCUUUUCCUUGAUAGAGACCAAAGAAGAAAUGUAGAAAACCAAAUGCUUAAAGUGAAGGAAAUAUUUCAAAAUUUUAAACCAAAGACACUAUUUUAACUAAGAUUUGCUAAAUAUUAACUGAAGUAAUAAACGCUGAAAGAAGCGAUGUUAUCCAUUGGUAAGGGACCCUCCAGUGGGGACUGUAGACCCUCUGCAGUCCUUAUGUUUCACAGCUUCAUCUACCAGCUAGAGCCCUUGAGGGAGGCAUCCUUCCAGACCUGGAAAAUUUGCAUGAUAAAAGGUCCCAUAUUCUUCUUCUUUCAAAAGAGGGCCAAAGUUUGUUUAUUUGCAUGAUAAAAGGUCCCAU
rnacentral:lncRNA from 1 species